CUCCUCUAAAUGGAGACAAUUAUCCUACUUGGCGCCGAUCGGUAACACGCGCCUUGAAUGCCAAAAAAAAAAUUAGGAUUCAUCGUCGGCACCAUCAAACAUCCAACUACAGACAUAGCAGCUGCACUUCUUUGGGAUCGUUGUUGCGACAUGAUAAUGUCGUGGUUACUUCAUUCCAUUGAUUGAUCUCUCACCAGAAGCCUCCUUUAUUGUGAAACGCCCAAUGACCUACGGGUCGAACUGGAAACCAGAUUUCAGCAAAGCAACAAGACCAAAAUUUUCACCCUCAAAUGUGACCUUGCCAAUCUUCACCAAGGACAUCAAUCAAUCACUAAUUACUAUGGAAAAUUGAAA
rnacentral:lncRNA from 1 species